CACGUAGGCACCAAGCGUUGUCCGGAUUUAUUGGGCGUAAAGAGCUCGUAGGCGGUUCGGUAAGUCGGGGGUGAAAACUUUGGGCUCAACCCAAAGCGUGCACUCGAUACUGCCAUGACUAGAGUUCGGUAGGGGAGUGGGGAAUUCCUAGUGUAGCGGUGAAAUGCGCAGAUAUUAGGAGGAACACCGGUGGCGAAGGCGCCACUCUGGGCCGAAACUGACGCUGAGGAGCGAAAGCGUGGGUAGCAAACAGG
rnacentral:rRNA from 1 species